rnacentral:lncRNA from 1 species
GUCCGUGAUGAGAUUUGAACACGCACCCCUUGGGUUGAUAGACUUUCGCAUUACACGCCCACCCUUCUUUCGUUUUUACCUUAAGUAAUCUUCUGUCUUAUGUAACUAUACCAAACUUAACAUAUCAUACUAAUUUGAUGUUCCGGAUUGACAUUUACUGUUACUUCUAGUCUGAGACCAGGCUGCAACCAGAUGUCAAGAAUAAAAGGUCACACUCACCCGUGUUGGAAUGAACAGCCCCUUCAGACUAGCCUACUAUUUCAGCUGUUUCUAGCUAAUGAAACCAAUAUAUAAACUUCACUAUCAAUGUCUAACCUAGUUAAGAAAGACCAACCGAUGAUGUGUCAAUAUUGAAAUAUGUGUCUGUCACAUGCGCGAGCUAUUUAGCUGCCCUACUAGUUACCUAUUUUGCUUACCUCGCGCCUGCUAACAAGACCAAGGCAGCGGAUCGUCUGGUCCCUCAAAAUGUUGUCAAAUUCAAGUCAUGUGCUAUCUAGGAUUGGAGAACCAUGUCCUUUAAUUAAGACCCGAGACAGGUGAGUGGGACUUUACCUGGACUAAUGAUUUGUAUACCGGUGUGGCGAGAUACUUUGAGUAAAUUGACAAAACAGACCAGGGCAUGGGACUCCUUUUCACAUGGGACCGCGGUGGGUCUGUGUAAACUAUGCGAUUAUAUUCGAAACAGGUUUAUAGUAGUGAAUGUCAUCUAUUCAUUUACUGUUAUAGUAUUUCUAAGUACUAGCAGCCAUGUCAACAAGGGAUUUUCUUUCUCUCAAUUUAUGAUAGAACAUUCCUAUAUUUUCUGCUUUACUGUGGCUCUUUACCUGAAUUGUUAACAUUUUCUUUUAAUCACAAAGAACUACUUAUUUUGCUGAAAUAUAGAUAUAAUUCAAUUGUGUUUUCUUUGAAAAGAUGGGCCUGGCUGGGAAUAGAACAUUCCGUUUUCUGCCCGAGUGUGGCGCUGUUUACCGCUAUUUUCUGGAUUAUUUUGUGACCAGAAAAAAACUAAUUUUACUCAACUAGAGAUGUAAUUAAAUGGUGUUUAUUUUCAAAGGUGUGACUGGCUGACAUGAAAAAUACAUUAAGGGGAAAGGAUCCACAGACACCAGAGGCUGAUAAUCUUUCUGCACAUCUCUUUAUUAUAAUGUUGGCUGCUAUGGUUAACACACACGCAUGACAUUACAUUUUACAUUUUAGUCAUUUAGCAGACGCUCUUAUCCAGAGCGACUUACAAAUUGGUGCAUUCACCUAUAAUAUCCAGUGGAACAACCACUUUACAAUAGUGCAUCUAAAUCUUUUAAGGGGGGGGUUAGAAGGAUUACUUUAUCCUAUCCCAGGUAUUCCUUGAAGAGGUGGGGUUUCAGGUGUCUCCGGAAGGUGGUGAUUGACUCCGCUGUCCUGGCGUCGUGAGGGAGCUUGUUCCACCAUUGGGGUGCCAGAGCAGCGAACAGUUUUGACUGGGCUGAGCGGGAACUGUGCUUCCUCAGAGGUAGGGAGGCGAGCAGGCCAGAGGUGGAUGAACGGAGUGCCCUUGUUUGGGUGUAGGGCCUGAUCAGAGCCUGAAGGUACGGAGGUGCCGUUCCCCUCACAGCUCCGUAGGCAAGCACCAUGGUCUUGUAGCGGAUGCGAGCUUCGACUGGAAGCCAGUGGAGAGAGCGGAGGAGUGGGGUGACGUGAGAGAACUUGGGAAGGUUGAACACCAGACGGGCUACCUGAAUUGACUCGGCAAUGUCAAACAGGGCCUGAGGCGAUUGGACCGCCUUUUCCUGCCUGUUACCUUAAAGUCCAUAAUUAACAUAUACAGCUCUGGAUCCAUUGCCUUACUACUGCAACAACUUGUCAAUUAUAUGCCCUUUUAUAGAAACCCCCCCUUUUUUUUUUUUUUUUUACUAAUGACUAAGGUAUGUAACCAUUAACAUUGGCUGCAUAUCCAUUGUCCUUCCUAAGUGUGGACUUUUUAGUCAUUUAGCAGACACUCUUAUCCAGAGCAAUUAGGGUUAAGUGCCUUGUUUAAGAGCACAUUUGACAGAUUUGUCACCUAGGGGAUUCAAACCAGUAACCUUUUGAUGACUGGCCCAAUGCUCUUAACCACCCCAUUGCACAUUUUAGGGAUAUAUAACUUUGAUGUGAAGUAGCUUACACCUAUCCAGUGCUUGCAUAUCCAUGAGGAGAGGAAUGGACAAUUAGUAUGCAGCCAUUGAUUUCAGGUGGCUUCUUCAACAGAUGGAAUGUGUCUGUGUCCCAAAUGGCAUCCCAUUCCGUAUACAUUUGACAUUUUUGUAGACACUCUUAUCCAGAGCAACUAACAGUAAUGAGUGCGUACAUUUUUGUACUGGUCCCCCGUAGGAAUCGAACCCUCAACCCGAGGGCUUUGGGACGUAUUCCACCUGUUGAGCCACACCCUGGCUAUUGUAAGCCAUUUCUCCAUCCCAGUCCCCUAGUUAAGCAAAUGAAGGGGAGAGGCUCUGAGUAUAAUUAAUGUAGUAAAUUACUUUUCCUGUUAAUUACUUUAUUUUCUAAACUUGCGUUAUAGUGUGUGUCCAUUUAAAUAAAACCUUUGUCCAGACAAUAAAUCCAUAUUUUCAUUGAUGGAAUAUUCAACAGACUGAACAGUCAUAUACCAAUGAGAUUAAGUAGUUGUAUUGCAGUUGUGUGGUGUUCUUGGCAUUCAGCCUCAUCUUGGUAUGGAAUAACUGACAAAAUACCUCAGCCUUAGGAAAUCAUUGGGGAAAGAGUUCCCACUUCCAGUUUGCACAAAUAUUUAUUUGACUUGUUGUAAGACAGAGCUACAGACCAUAUAAAAGCAUAUAUUCAACAAGAAAA